rnacentral:ncRNA from 2 species
CGACUCUCGGCAACGGAUAUCUCGGCUCUC